rnacentral:rRNA from 1 species
AGUGAACGCUGGCGGUAGGCCUAACACAUGCAAGUCGAACGGCAGCACAGUAAGAGCUUGCUCUUACGGGUGGCGAGUGGCGGACGGGUGAGGAAUACAUCGGAAUCUACUUUUUCGUGGGGGAUAACGUAGGGAAACUUACGCUAAUACCGCAUACGACCUACGGGUGAAAGCAGGGGAUCUUCGGACCUUGCGCGAUUGAAUGAGCCGAUGUCGGAUUAGCUAGUUGGCGGGGUAAAGGCCCACCAAGGCGACGAUCCGUAGCUGGUCUGAGAGGAUGAGCAGCCACACGGGAACGGAGACACGGUCCAGACUCCUACGGGAGGCAGCAGUGGGGAAGAUGGGACAAGGGGCGCAAGCCUGAUCCAGCCAUACCGCGUGGGUGAAGAAGGCCUUCGGGUUGUAAAGCCCUUUUGUUGGGAAAGAAAAGCAGCAGGUUAAUACCCCGCUGUUCUGACGGUACCCAAAGAAUAAGCACCGGCUAACUUCGU